UAGGGAAUCUUCGGCAAUGGGGGCAACCCUGACCGAGCAACGCCGCGUGAGUGAAGAAGGUUUUCGGAUCGUAAAGCUCUGUUGUAAGUCAAGAACGAGUGUGAGAGUGGAAAGUUCACACUGUGACGGUAACUUACCAGAAAGGGACGGCUAACUACGUGCCAGCAGCCGCGGUAAUACGUAGGUCCCGAGCGUUAUCCGGAUUUAUUGGGCGUAAAGCGAGCGCAGGCGGUUUGAUAAGUCUGAAGUUAAAGGCUGUGGCUUAACCAUAGUACGCUUUGGAAACUGUUUAACUUGAGUGCAGAAGGGGAGAGUGGAAUUCCAUGUGUAGCGGUGAAAUGCGUAGAUAUAUGGAGGAACACCGGUGGCGAAAGCGGCUCUCUGGUCUGUAACUGACGCUGAGGCUCGAAAGCGUGGGGAGCAAACAGGAUUAGAUACCCUGGUAGUCCACGCCGUAAACGAUGAGUGCUAGGUGUUGGGUCCUUUCCGGGNNUCAGUGCCGAAGCUAACGCAUUAAGCACUCCGCCUGGGGAGUACGACCGCAAGGUUG
rnacentral:rRNA from 1 species